rnacentral:rRNA from 1 species
UACGAAGGGGGCUAGCGUUGUUCGGAAUUACUGGGCGUAAAGCGUGUGUAGGCGGCUAGGUAAGUCGGAUGUGAAAGCCCCGGGCUCAACUCGGGAAGUGCACUCGAUACUGCUUAGCUCGAGUACCGGAGAGGUUGGUGGAAUUCUCGGUGUAGAGGUGAAAUUCGUAGAUAUCGAGAGGAACACCGGUGGCGAAGGCGGCCAACUGGACGAGUACUGACGCUGAGACACGAAAGCGUGGGGAGCAAACAGG